AGAAACCACAGAAAUGAAUUUCUGAUGGCUAAUUUUGACCGCCACAAAUAAUACACAGUUUUAAUUUAUUUAUUAACACUUGUUUAUUUUUUAUUAAUUUUGAUAACGUGUCCCUUGACACAACAACUCUCUCCGCAUUCCUUUCUCACUCUUCACUAUUGAUUACGAUCUCUCCACCAUGACGACCAGUUUCACUUUGUGCUCGCAUUCGCCUUCUAGAGAUCACUCCUCGCAUUCUCUCAUUCUCAUAGUCUCGCAUUCUUUUCAGACUCUUGCAUACAAAAUCGUAUCCAUUCAAGGUUGUUCUUCCACUGAGUGUCAUGAAGCUUCAAGAUUGGGAACAAGUAAGAGAACUCAGGUUACUUCAUUUUAGACAUAGUAUCUCUUGGAAGGAAGGUGAGGAGUAAAGACACCGAUUCUUGUAACAGAUAUGCAAUUGUGGUACUAAUUCUCAAUUGAUAUUUGAUAGUGCUCAAAUAAUGUAAGUGUUUUUUUUCCACUGCAAAACUUAGGUUGCUUGCAAUGUGUUUGAUGAAAUGUAUUAUUUCUUCUUUGCUUUAGUUUGAGCACUUCAUCUAAUUUUCAUUUCACUGUUAGUUCUGCUCUAAAUUUUUAAUGGCAAGGAGCAAUCCAAUAGCUUGUUGCCUUGAUUCCAUGCUUAUAAAGCAAUCAUAUAGCACACAAAAAGCUUUUCUAAUGUUGUAAGCUUAAAAUUGUCCUCCUUCAUUGUGAAAUUGAUCAAAUAUCAAUUUUUGUUGAUUAUGUAUCUAGACUUAUUAUGGUUUCAGUUAAAGAGGAAGUUGCAAGUCAUUACCUAGGUCAGGGUGGUUUGGUCUGGUUUCAACUUAUGUUGCUUAUUCUCCUAAGAUUGCAAGUAGAUACUUGGAGUCUUCAUGCAACUAUUGGCUUAAUUAUAGCAUGAAGAAUGGUAAAAUGAACUAUCUACAAUUACUUUAGGAGACCAAACUCUAUAAUAUUGUUCAAGGAGGAAGUAGUAGGACAUGAUUAAUCUGGAUGGAAAUCAGAGAGUUCUGUGACAAGGUUUUCCAAAUAUUCACCAUGUGAAUGACAGUUCAAUGGUGGCAUCCCAAGCAUAAAAUGUAAAGAUUGAGAUGCUUGUGGAUAGGACUGGACCUACUCUCACAGAACAUGAUGAAUCUGGAUGAAAAUCAAAGAGUGCUCCGACAAGGUUUUCCAAAUAUUCACCAUGUGAAUGACAGUUUAAUGGUAUAUUGAAUAUUUCUUUUAUUCCUUUCUUUCCUUUUAGAUGCUUGGUGAUUAAUUUUCCUUUUAGCUUUUUUAGUUUCAUCACUCAUUAAUUUUAAGUUUGAGAAAUAGCUUAUGAUACUGGAAUGAUUUGUAAUGCCUUGUGAAAGAUAUUUAGUUGUUUCUGUUCACAGCUUUCUUUGAUUCACCUAUUAUAAUUAGUCAUUAGCCAUGCCACUCUAGCAUAUUUAAUGCAUAUAUAACCUUAUGAAAUUCAUGUGGAAGGUCAAUUUAUCAAGUUGUCAACAACAAUUAAAAACAAUAAAUUGGGAUAUAAGAAUUUAUGUAGAAACCAUACACAAUAGAUUUUUUCGAUCAAGAAGUAGCAUGUGGAUUUUUUUGCAGCCCAUGUAAGACUCAAUCCUUGAUUUUUAUUUAUUCUUUACUCACUUUGAAUUUGAAUAUUGUAUUGUUAUCUCUAACAUUCCCUUUUGAUAUAUAUCCAGUAAAACUAUGGCAGCUUAACGGGAACAUACAAUUAUUAAAUCUAUUUCUUUUGGCAUUUUGGAAUUUGGAUAUAGAUCUGAAAUUAUUGGUGUUCAAACAAUUAUCAACUUUGCGUAUCCACGUGUUGUUACCAUUUAUAGUCUAUGAUCCCUAUUGGUAGUAACUCUGCUUGAAAUGUUUAGUGUUAUUGACUUCCUUCAGUUUUUUAUCACUUUCCUUCGUUGUUAAGUUACAAUUCAUCAUACAUGAUAGCAUGUUGAUCUUGCUUUAAACAUGUUCUGUUUCUCUCUAUGGAUUCCUGAUUUUAAAAAAGUUAAUGUAAGAAGCUAUGUUUAUCGAGUGGGUCGUACUGCAAGAGCUAGAAGAGAAGGAUAUGCUAUCACUUUUGUGACUGACAAUGACCGAUCACUUUUAAAAGCCAUUGUGAUUAUCAUUAAAAGAGUCGCCGCAUUUUAUCAAGCUUUAUUUUAUAUUUCCUUGCACAGUUUUCCUUAUAAGAUAAAAAAAAGGUUGUGCAUGUUGAUUUGCAUGUUGGGUCCCAUUUAUCAUAAUUAACAAUGUACUUACUCAAAAGGCCCAAAGAACAAUGAAAAGAUUUUUCUGAGGUAGCUCAAAAAGGCAGAGUUCAAAAAGGCAAAGCUCAGAACAAAAAAUAGAAGUUAAUAUGCCUAGAGAUUGAAGAUUUGUCUCCUCGCAUCCUCCAAACCUAAUCAUUGGAGAAACGUAUUAUGGAGUAAAAAAUAAGAGCCUUCCUGAACAGAUAAAGAGGAAUGAUGACUCUUCUCUCAACCAUUGAGCCUAAAAACAUUGAGGAAGCACUAAGUGAAGAUUCUUGGGUGAUAGCCAUGGAGGAAGAACUAAGUCAGUUCACCAAGAACACAGUUUGGAAUCUUGUUCCUCCUCCUAUGAAUCAUUCAGUGAUUGGAAAUAAGUGGGUGCUCAAAAACAAGCUCAAUGAAGAAGGAGAAGUGGUUAAAAACAAGGCUAGACUGGUUGUUUAAGAAUACAAUCAACAAGAAGGAAUUGACUAUGAAUAAACCUUUGCAGCAGUAACAAUACUUGAAGCCAUUAGAAUACUAUUAGCUUAUGCAGCACACAAAGACAUCAAACUAUACCAAAUGGAUGUUAAGAAUGCCUUUCUGAAUGAAUUCAUAAAUGAAGAGGUGUAUGAUACGUGUUACUAAGCAAGCCUGGUUUCGAGGACUAGAGACCUCCAAGAAGAAGAAGAAGGAGAAAGUUCAAGCAAGGGAAUUUCAUUCAUUCAUGAUUCUGUUAGUCUUAUAUAUUAGAUGUUUAUUUAUACUAUUCCUCGCUAACAGAUUUCUUAACAUUUUGUGCACAAGGAAUAUUUACAGAAUCAAAUUGGUUAGGCUUGUCCCCUGCAUCCCGACAGCAUCAACCAAGGAGGAUUCGCAGUGCCAAAAUCACCCUCAGAUAUAGUCAUUGAGUGUAUACGAAGCAACCACUGGGUUUGAAGAUAAAGAAAGACCUUGUCAUGUGUUUAUGGUUUGAAACAAGCUCUAAGAGCUUGGUAUGAAAGGCUAAGUUCAUUUCUAGUUUCAAAUGGAUUCACCAGAGGAAUAACGGACCCCGCACUAUUCAGAAAGGCUCAAAAAGGAAACCUUCUUAUUAUUCAUAUCUAUGUUGAUGACAUAAUCUUUGGUGCAACCUCAAAAAGGAUGUGCAAGGAGUUUUUUGAGUUAAUGAAGGAUGGAUUUGAAACGAGUAUGAAAGGUGAGCUAAAGUUCCUCCUAGGACUUCAAAUCAUUCAGAAAGUUUAUGGGAUUUUUAUCCAUCAAGAGAAAUAUACAAAGUCCCAUCUAAAAAGGUUCAGAAUGGAUGAAGCCAAACCUAUGGCAACCCCUAUGCAUCGUUCCACAAUCAUUGACAAGGAUGAGAAAGGUAAUCAUACUUCAUAAAAGGAGUAUAGUGGUAUGAUUGAUUCUUUAUCAUAUUUAACUUCUAGUAGACCAGAUAUUGUGUUUGUCGUUUGCCUUUGUGCAAGAUUUCAGUCUUAUCCAAAAAUUUCUCAUGUUACUGCAGUUAAAAGGAUCUUAAGAUAUCUUGUUGGAACUACUAAUCAUUGUCUAUGGUUUAAGAAAAGGUCUGAGUUUGAUCUUUUAGGAUAUUGUGAUGUUUAUUUUGCUGGUGAUAAAGUAGAAAGGAAGAGCACUAGUAGAAAUGGAUGACCCGUUGUGGCGAGUGUCUCUUAACUUCAAGGUCUUUAGCUUUGUAGAUUUGUUGUGACAAAUUGCACCUUCGCUAAGGCGAGUCCAUGUUAGUUUCAGCUUAUCAAGUUUCUUGUUUUGUUGUGGCUAAUACACAUCUCAAUGUAGCGAGAUCAUGUAUGCCGCUCUUCAUUCUUUGAUGAUCAAAAUAUGCUCUUGUAAUAUCUAAAUUUACUCAAAA